rnacentral:rRNA from 1 species
UACGGAGGGUGCAAACGUUGCUCGGAAUUAUUGGGCGUAAAGCGCACGUAGGCGGUCCUCAAGUCGGGUGUGAAGCCUCGGCUUAACCGAGGAAGUGCAUUCGAAACUAAGGGACUUGAAUACUGGAGAGGAUGGCGGAAUUCCGGUGUAGAGGUGAAAUUCGUAGAUAUCGGGAGGAACACCAGCGGCGAAGGCGGCCAUCUGGACAGAUAUUGACGCUGAGGUGCGAAAGCGUGGGGAGCAACAGG